UGUGGCGUUAUGCUUGACGUUGAAAGUCUGUGCUGUCGUGGUGAACUGAAGUGGACAUUGUUACUGCUUGUGCAUAAAGUGUGCCGUGGUGUGUUCCAAGAACGGGUGCGUCGCGGAAUUCGACGAAGGAAACCUUCACAGCGCCGAUGACUCUAAGAUCCCGCAACAGAACCAACUUAUCCCCGGGAUUAAACGCAGUCGUAUCUCCGAAUUUUCGUCAUUUACUCUCUGCGGAGGAACAGAAAUCAUAAAGGAGGAAUGGAAGCAAUCGAUGCUGGAAACAAAGGAACUACAGGGUAUCGAAACGCAAUGUGUCCAUCAGUUGUCCA